UGCCGACAGCUGGCGGCGUGCCUAAUACAUGCAAGUCGAGCGGAUCUGAGGGAGCUUGUCCCAAAGAUUAGCGGCGGACGGGUGAGUAACACGUGGGUAACCUGCCUGUAAGAUUGGGAUAACUCCGGGAAACCGGAGCUAAUACCGGAUAACAAUUUGAACCGCAUGGUUCAAAUUUGAAAGACGGCUUUGGCUGUCACUUACAGAUGGACCCGCGGCGCAUUAGCUAGUUGGUGAGGUAACGGCUCACCAAGGCAACGAUGCGUAGCCGACCUGAGAGGGUGAUCGGCCACACUGGGACUGAGACACGGCCCAGACUCCUACGGGAGGCAGCAGUAGGGAAUCUUCCGCAAUGGACGAAAGUCUGACGGAGCAACGCCGCGUGAACGAUGAAGGCCUUCGGGUCGUAAAGUUCUGUUGUUAGGGAAGAACAAGUACCAGAGUAACUGCUGGUACCUUGACGGUACCUAACCAGAAAGCCACGGCUAACUACGUGCCAGCAGCCGGGUAAAUA
rnacentral:rRNA from 1 species